rnacentral:rRNA from 2 species
UCCUGGCUCAGGACGAACGCUGGCGGCGUGCCUAAUACAUGCAAGUCGAGCGGAUCGAUGGGAGCUUGCUCCCUGAGAUCAGCGGCGGACGGGUGAGUAACACGUGGGUAACCUGCCUGUAAGACUGGGAUAACUCCGGGAAACCGGGGCUAAUACCGGAUAACUCAGUUCCUCGCAUGAGGAACUGUUGAAAGGUGGCUUUUCGCUACCACUUACAGAUGGACCCGCGGCGCAUUAGCUAGUUGGUGAGGUAACGGCUCACCAAGGCAACGAUGCGUAGCCGACCUGAGAGGGUGAUCGGCCACACUGGGACUGAGACACGGCCCAGACUCCUACGGGAGGCAGCAGUAGGGAAUCUUCCGCAAUGGACGAAAGUCUGACGGAGCAACGCCGCGUGAGUGAAGAAGGUUUUCGGAUCGUAAAACUCUGUUGUUAGGGAAGAACAAGUGCCGUUCGAAUAGGGCGGCACCUUGACGGUACCUAACCAGAAAGCCACGGCUAACUACGUGCCAGCAGCCGCGGUAAUACGUAGGUGGCAAGCGUUGUCCGGAAUUAUUGGGCGUAAAGCGCGCGCA